CAUGACAAAGAUAAUGACUACACAGCUGGUCUCCAGAAAAGAGAAAGAAAAGAAUCAGAAUCAAUGACUUAAUAAUACAGCCAAAAUAACUUUCGGCCAACUACUCCACCAAUAAAGGGUUGUAUAGUAGCACCAAUUAUGGGAAGCACAGUACACUCAAUAAUCAGCAUGUGACGAUGGAGCCCCUUGUGUACCCGGCAUUAUCCUAAUAAAUUUGAGUGUAAUUUUAGUAAAAUUUCAUUUGUAUUUCAUUUGAGUUUAGUCCUUGAGUCUUUUAUAAAUAGGUCUGAGUCUGUAAAAAAGGGAACUCAGGUUUUGGAUUACCCUCCUAAAAAUCCUCUGAGUUAACUCCUUUCCUGUCCUCCUCUCCUCCCUGUAAUAUUGGCUCUGGCUUUUCUUGUAAUAAAAGCGUGUCCAAGUUCCUUUUCCAACUGGUAGAAAUAUGGGGAGAUGGAAAAGCGAAGUUGAAAGUGAAAAGAAUUGAUCCGGAUUCGUCUACUGUGAAGGUGAGCAAACGAAAUCAUCUCAUUCGGCUUCAAUCUACAAACAAUUGCCUCUUGUGUAACGUAAGGUCAAACGAGAACAAGUAGGUAUACAUGGUUGCACUGGUCAAGCAGCCGCAGUGGUGGGAUGGUAACUUGAUGCAGUAACAUCAGGUCGUGAGGACUCUCUUUUUCGAAGGCCCUGGUUAGCUGACCCGCAGCCACUGGGAUACUCUUCUCUGUUAAUCUUUCCAUUCUGUCGUUUGUUGCCCAAUAAUAUACUGGCUUACAAAAUGAGAAAUGACUUCGUAAAAUAGACGUAAAUUUACGCUCCUGUUCAACCGAGUCCAACAAAGGUUGUGGGCAUCAAAGUAAGCCAUAAAUUAGAAAUGAAUUGGCUGCAAGUCAAACAAACACGAGGAAAAUAAACGAGAAAGUUUGGGCAACGUUUCUUGCUGAUGUACCAAAGAAUGGUAAGAAUGAAAUGACUGCUGAUGUAGCUUUAUGCCGUUCAGCGAUUUUACACCCUGUGGAGUCUCUAGUGUAUCUACUUGUAAUGAGCAACGAAACCCCCCUUCUCUCGUUUUGGGAUGAGAGGUGCUUUUAUACUACUACUACUAUUUGAAUUUUGGAA